rnacentral:rRNA from 1 species
GACGAACGCUGGCGGCGUGCUUAACACAUGCAAGUCGAACGGAAAGGCCCUGCUUUUGUGGGGUGCUCGAGUGGCGAACGGGUGAGUAACACGUGAGUAACCUGCCCUUGACUUUGGGAUAACUUCAGGAAACUGGGGCUAAUACCGGAUAGGAGCUCCUGCUGCAUGGUGGGGGUUGGAAAGUUUCGGCGGUUGGGGAUGGACUCGCGGCUUAUCAGCUUGUUGGUGGGGUAGUGGCUUACCAAGGCUUUGACGGGUAGCCGGCCUGAGAGGGUGACCGGCCACAUUGGGACUGGGAUACGGCCCAGACUCCUACGGGAGGCAGCAUUGGGGAAUAUUGCACAAUGGGCGGAAGCCUGAUGCAGCAACGCCGCGUGCGGGAUGACGGCCUUCGGGUUGUAAACCGCUUUCGCCUGUGACGAAGCGUGAGUGACGGUAAUGGGUAAAGAAGCACCGGCUAACUACGUG